rnacentral:rRNA from 1 species
UACAGAGGUCUCAAGCGUUGUUCGGAUUCAUUGGGCGUAAAGGGUGCGUAGGUGGCGCGCUAAGUCAGGUGUGAAAUUUCGGAGCUUAACUCCGAAACUGCAUUUGAUACUGGCGUGCUUGAGGACUGGAGAGGAGACUGGAAUUCAUGGUGUAGCAGUGAAAUGCGUAGAGAUCAUGAGGAAGACCAGUGGCGAAGGCGGUCUUCUGGACGGUGACUGACGCUGAGGCGCGAAAGCGUGGGGAGCAAACAGG